AUUGAACGCUGGCGGCAGGCCUAACACAUGCAAGUCGAGCGAGCGUCGGACGGGUGAGUAAUGUAUGGGGACUGCCCGAUAGAGGGGGAUAACUACUGGAAACGGUGGCUAAUACCGCAUACUGUCGGAUAACCCAUAUGGGAUUAGCUAGUAGGUAAGGUAAUGGCUUACCUAGGCGACGAUCCCUAGCUAGUCUGAGAGGAUGAGCAGCCACACUGGGAUGAGGACACGGCCAGAACUCCAACGGAGGCAGCAGUGGGAAUUAUUGCACAAGGGGCGCAAUCCUGAGGCGACCAUGCGGCGUGGAUGAAGAAGGCCCUAGGGUUGUAAAGUACUUUCAGUCGGGCGGCGUUACCGACAUAGGAAGCACCGGCUAACUCCGUGCCAGCAGCCGCGGUAAUUC
rnacentral:rRNA from 1 species